rnacentral:rRNA from 1 species
UACAGAGGGGGCAAGCGUUAUUCGGAAUUAUUGGGCGUAAAGGGCGCGUAGGCGGCUUGGCAAGUGGAAGGUGAAAUCCCUCGGCUUAACCGAGGAACUGCCUUCCAGACUGCUUUGCUUGAGGCCGGGAGAGGCGAGUGGAAUUCCCAGUGUAGCGGUGAAAUGCGUAGAUAUUGGGAGGAACACCAGUGGCGAAGGCGGCUCGCUGGACCGGUUCUGACGCUGAGGUACGAAAGCGUGGGGAGCAAACGGG